rnacentral:rRNA from 1 species
UNCGCCGGGUACGGGCGGGCUGGAGUGCGGUAGGGGAGACUGGAAUUCCCGGUGUAACGGUGGAAUGUGUAGAUAUCGGGAAGANCACCAAUGGCGAAGGCAGGUCUNUGGGCCGUCACUGACGCUGAGGAGCGAAAGCGUGGGGAGCGAACAGGAUUAGAUACCCUGGUAGUNCACGCCGUAAAUGGUGGAUGCUGGAUGUGGGGCCCGUUCCACGGGUUCCGUGUCGGAGCUAACGCGUUAAGCAUCCCGCCUGGGGAGUACGGCCGCAAGGCUAAAACUCAAAGAAAUUGACGGGGGCCCGCACAAGCGGCGGAGCAUGCGGAUUAAUUCGAUGCAACGCGAAGAACCUUACCUGGGCUUGACAUGUUCCCGACGGCCGUAGAGAUAUGGCCUCCCUUCGGGGCGGGUUCACAGGUGGUGCAUGGUCGUCGUCAGCUCGUGUCGUGAGAUGUUGGGUUAAGUCCCACAACGAGCGCAACCCUCGCCCUGUGUUGCCAGCACGUCAUGGUGGGAACUCACGGGGGACCGCCGGGGUCAACUCGGAGGAAGGUGGGGAUGACGUCAGAUCAUCAUGCCCCUUACGUCCAGGGCUUCACGCAUGCUACAAUGGCCGGUACAGCGGGAUGCGACAUGGCGACAUGGAGCGGAUCCCUGAAAACCGGUCUCAGUUCGGAUUGGAGUCUGCAACCCGACUCCAUGAAGGCGGAGUCGCUAGUAAUCGCGGAUCAGCAACGCCGCGGUGAAUGCGUUCCCGGGCCUUGUACACACCGCCCGUCAAGUCAUGAAAGUGGGCAGCACCCGAAGCCGGUGGCCUAACCCCUUGUGGGAUGGAGCCGUCUAAGGUGA